GCCUAAAGAUGAGACUGACUGCCGGGACUAAUUAAGCUGACUCGUCGCAAAACGGCCACGAGAUCAAAAAUUCCUUGUAAGGGAGGACUUGGCUGUGAAUUUCCCAGGCUACCACCUGCAUUCCACCCUGUGUACAAACACCAUGUGCCCAGGGCUAUCAGCAGCAGCACUGCACCAAGAGAAGAGAAGAGAAGACACAGCUUGGCUUCAAAAGGUCAUGAGAACUCUGCAGCAAAAAAAGCAUUGGGUGGAAGAAAAAACUUUCUGCUUUAAGCACUCUUGCAAUUAAAUCCUUCUGCAAAAUACAUGUUUUCUUCUAGUAA